rnacentral:misc_RNA from 1 species
UAGAGUUUUCUAAACUCCCAACCCUUUGUGAACUUACCUUUGUUGCCUCGGCGGGGCCUACCCGGUAGCGAUCCCUUUUGGGAGAACCUACCCUGUAGCCCGCCGGUGGAUUUUCAAACUCUUGUUAUUUUAACGAUAUCUGAGCGUCUUAUUUUAAUAAGUCA